rnacentral:rRNA from 1 species
AGGACCCUGUCCUCCUAUUUUCAGUUGGUUUUGGCAGCGCGAGGACUAGGGUAAUGAUUAAUAGGGAUAGUUGGGGGCAUUAAUAUUUAAUUGUCAGAGGUGAAAUUCUUGGAUUUAUGAAAGAUUAACUUCUGCGAAAGCAUCUGCCAAGGAUGUUUUCAUUAAUCAAGAACGAAAGUUAGGGGAUCGAAGACGAUCAGAUACCGUCGUAGUCUUAACCAUAAACGAUGCCGACCACCGAUUAGGAGACGUUGAAUACAAAACACCACCAUCGGUGCGGUCGUCCUUGGCGUCGGUCUUUCGGGGCCGGCGCGGGGACGGCUUAGCCCGGUGG